rnacentral:rRNA from 1 species
UAUUGAAGGGUGCUUGCAUCUUGAUUUAAUUUUGAACGAGUGGCGGACGGGUGAGUAACACGUGGGUAACCUGCCCUUAAGUGGGGGAUAACAUUUGGAAACAGAUGCUAAUACCGCAUAAAUCCAAGAACCGCAUGGUUCUUGGCUGAAAGAUGGCGUAAGCUAUCGCUUUUGGAUGGACCCGCGGCGUAUUAGCUAGUUGGUGAGGUAACGGCUCACCAAGGCAAUGAUACGUAGCCGAACUGAGAGGUUGAUCGGCCACAUUGGGACUGAGACACGGCCCAAACUCCUACGGGAGGCAGCAGUAGGGAAUCUUCCACAAUGGACGCAAGUCUGAUGGAGCAACGCCGCGUGAGUGAAGAAGGCUUUCGGGUCGUAAAACUCUGUUGUUGGAGAAGAAUGGUCGGCAGAGUAACUGUUGUCGGCGUGACGGUAUCCAACCAGAAAGCCACGGCUAACUACGUGCCAGCAGCCGCGGUAAUACGUAGGUGGCAAGCGUUAUCCGGAUUUAUUGGGCGUAAAGCGAGCGCAGGCGGUUUUUUAAGUCUGAUGUGAAAGCCCUCGGCUUAACCGAGGAAGUGCAUCGGAAACUGGGAAACUUGAGUGCAGAAGAGGACAGUGGAACUCCAUGUGUAGCGGUGAAAUGCGUAGAUAUAUGGAAGAACACCAGUGGCGAAGGCGGCUGUCUGGUC